rnacentral:rRNA from 1 species
CCCUUAGAUGUCCUGGGCUGCACGCGCGCUACACUGACGCACGCAACAGGUGCCUGCUCCGAGAGGACUGGGUAAUCAUUUGAGCGUGCGUCGUGAUGGGGAUAGAAUAUUGUAAUUAUUACUCUUCAACGAGGAAUUCCUAGUAAGCGCCAGUCAGCAGCUUGCGCUGAUUACGUCCCUGCCCUUUGUACACACCGCCCGUCGCUCCUACCGAUGGGUGAUCCGGUGAAUGAUUCGGACUUCAGCGGCUCCCCUGGGGUGCGCCGGAGAAAGUUUUGUGAACCUUAUCACUUGGAGGAAGGAGAAGUCGUAACA